UACGUAGGUGGCAAGCGUUGUCCGGAAUUAUUGGGCGUAAAGCGCGCGCAGGCGGUCUCUUAAGUCUGAUGUGAAAGCCCACGGCUCAACCGUGGAGGGUCAUUGGAAACUGGGGGGACUUGAGUGCAGAAGGGGAAAGCGGAAUUCCACGUGUAGCGGUGAAAUGCGUAGAGAUGUGGAGGAACACCAGUGGCGAAGGCGGCUUUCUGGUCUGUAACUGACGCUGAGGCGCGAAAGCGUGGGGGAGCAAACAGG
rnacentral:rRNA from 1 species